UACGUAGGGGGCAAGCGUUGUCCGGAAUCAUUGGGCGUAAAGCGCGCGUAGACGGCCCUGUAAGUCCGUUGUGAAAGUCAAAGGCUCAACCUUUGAAAGCCGAUGGAUACUGCAGGGCUAGAGUCCGGAAGAGGCGAGUGGAAUUCCUGGUGUAGCGGUGGAAUGCGCAGAUAUCAGGAGGAACACCAAUAGCGAAGGCAGCUCGCUGGGACGGUACUGACGCUAAGGCGCGAAAGCGUGGGGAGCGAACAGG
rnacentral:rRNA from 1 species